CGAACGCUGGCGGCGUGCUUAACACAUGCAAGUCGAACGGAAAGGCCCUGCUUUUGUGGGGUGCUCGAGUGGCGAACGGGUGAGUAACACGUGAGUAACCUGCCCUUGACUUUGGGAUAACUUCAGGAAACUGGGGCUAAUACCGGUUAGGAGCUCCUGCUGCAUGGUGGGGGUUGGAAAGUUUCGGCGGUUGGGGAUGGACUCUCGGCUUAUCAGCUUGUUGGUGGGGUUGUGGCUUACCAAGGCUUUGACGGGUAGCCGGCCUGAGUGGGGUACCGGCAACAGGGGGAUGGAGAAAGGGCCGAGAGGACGGGGGGGGGGAGAAGGGGGGAAUAUGGAAAAAGGGGGGGAGGCGGGAGGAAGCAAGGCGGGGGGGGGGAGGAGGGCCUGGGGGUGGAAAAAAAGGUGCGGAGGGGAAGAAGGGGGAGUGAGGGAAAGGGGAAAAAAAGCACGGGCAAAAAAGGGG
rnacentral:rRNA from 1 species